rfam:Spirochaetes bacterium GWB1_66_5 gwb1_scaffold_42049, whole genome shotgun sequence.
GCGGGAAUAGCUCAGUGGUAGAGCUCCACCUUGCCAAGGUGGAUGUCGCGGGUUCAAGUCCCGUUUCCCGCU